GGAUUGAGUGCAGAAGCUUUUUGGAAUCAGGGAAAAAUCUUCCGAACCCAAUGAUUGGCAAUGAUUGCAGCUUAUAUAGCACGAUCCAAGGACAAAUUGGAGAUUUGUGUAGCUCAAUCUCUUUCGUCCAGCUGGCACUUAAAUGAAGGAUGAAUGUUGCAUCUUUGUUUUCAAUUGCUAGGUCUGGUGUAUGCAAUGCAGAUUCACAUCAUUGUGGAGAAAUUGGAUGGAUGUGAGGUCUUGGCUGCAGGUUGAUGUCCAUGCCUUGGUUUGUAGACCGGUUUGCUGAAUGUUUGGAUAACUUGCCCUGUUUCUGCAGGUUUUCUUGGCUUUGGCUCUGCAACAGGGUAGCUCUGAAGUUGCAGUGGGAUGCUUGGUUGAUAUGACUUAGCUCGAGUCGAAUGUUCCAACUCUAGUCAUUAUGCAUUUAUCUGAUAGAGUCUGAUGAAAGUGAAUCACGUGUGAGUAGGGCGAAUGACGCACAUGUUCUUUUAUUCUUCAAUUCGCUUGUUGCAACCUUGCUACAACUUCACUCUUAGCUGCCAAUUGAAAGUCUUUACAGGUUAUGCUUAAGAUAAUAAAACACGCGUAACUCAUCGAAGCGACAAACCCUUCCGGAUGACGACACUUCAUGACAGCUUAGAUGUGUAUCGCCCAAGGAAUGCUUAAUGUUGUUUGACCUUACUUAGGAGCGCGCGACACACCUUCUUCCGGCCUCGUGUUUGAACCAACGGGAAGCAAUUAGGAUUUAGGUAAGAUACGCCUUUGUGACUCGGGCCUUCCUUAACCAAGUGGAUUGUUGGCGCUGUAUCCUGAGUUAAACCCGUUAUCAUACGAUCACAGCCGCUGCAUCACGCCUUGGAAGAACAAUAGGUUUUGAUAUCACGUCCAUAAUCCAUAUGCCCUGCUGGUUUGUAUCAGUGCUUUUGAUAACCCAAGAAUUUCCUGCUGGUUUGUAUCAGUGCUUUUGAUAACCCAAGAAUUUCCUGCUGCUAAGAGUGCCCUGUUGGAUUCAAAGGAUAAUUUCCACCAGGAAUGCUGGUAGAACUUCCAAAACCACAUCCCGACGGAAUAGCAGCAGACUGA